GUACUCACUUAAGCAGCACAUAUGCUAAAAUUGGAAUGAUACAGAGAUUAACAUGUCCCCUGCACAAUGAUGACAUACAAAUCUGUGAAGCGUUCCAAAUGUUU
rnacentral:snRNA from 1 species